GAUGAAGAACGUAGCGAAAUGCGAUAAGUAAUGUGAAUUGCAGAAUUCAGUGAAUCAUCGAAUCUUUGAACGCAUCUUGCGCUCCUUGGUAUUCUGAGGAGCAUGCCUGUUUGAGUGUCAUUAAAUUCUCAACUACACUGACUUUGAAUUGGUGUGGCUUGGAUUUGGGGGGAAAAUUGUUGUGGGCUUUUUGUAUAGUCUGCUCCCCUGAAAUUGAUUAGCGGUACCUUUGUGGAACUGUCUACAGGUGUGAUAAUUAUCUACAUCUUAGACAUCUGCUGGGAUGCUGCUUUCUAAACCUUACUUGUAUUGACAAUCUUGACCUCAAAUCAGGUAGGACUACCCGCUGAACUUAAGCAUAUCAAUAAGCGGAGGA
rnacentral:misc_RNA from 1 species